rnacentral:snRNA from 1 species
AGCUUUGCGCAGUGGCAGUAUCGUAGCCAAUGAGGUUUAUCUGAGGCGCGAUUAUUGCUAAUGAAAAGAAGCUUUGUAUAUAAGAUUGCCUGUAAAUAUUAAAUGUAUUUAAACAUA